UACGGAGGGUGCAAGCGUUAUCCGGAUUUACUGGGUUUAAAGGGUGCGUAGGUGGGCGAGAAAGUCAGUGGUGAAAUCUCCGGGCUUAACCCGGAAACUGCCAUUGAUACUAUUUGUCUUGAAUACUUUGGAUGUAAGCGGAAUAUGUCAUGUAGCGGUGAAAUGCUUAGAUAUGACAUAGAACACCUAUUGCGAAGGCAGCUAACUACGCGAAUAUUGACGCUGAGGCACGAAAGCGUGGGGAUCAAACAGG
rnacentral:rRNA from 1 species